CUGUGGACAGUACCAGUUCUGCAGAAGCGAUUAUCCUAGCAAAAUGUUCAAAGUUACCAUCUUCAGUUUAUGCUGCCUGUUGGUCGCUGUUUCCGGCCAUUAUUGGGGAGGCGAUGGGCAUAAGGAUUAUCACACUUAUCCCAAAUAUAAGUACGAAUAUGGAGUUAAGGACCACCAUACCGGAGAUCAUAAAAGCCAAUGGGAGCACCGUGAUGGAGAUGUUGUGAAGGGAGGUUAUACUCUGGACGAGGCUGACGGUACCAAACGAGUGGUUGAGUAUCAUUCGGACAAACAUAGUGGACUGCAUGCCCAUGUGAAGCGAAUCGGCCAUGCUCACCAUCCACAGGUUUAUGGCCAUCAUCACGAUCAUCACGGCUAUGGCCAUGGUUCGGGAUACAGCUACAGUCAUCUGGAUCAACAUCAUUGACCCACAUUUCAAUGAGAUCAUUAUUUGAAAAUAAAUUAUUUACACUUUUUUGAGUCUGGAAUGAUUAAAUGGUCGUCUGCAAUAUAUCGCAAUAUAUUUUACUGGCCUAACAGUCUAAAAUGUCCGUAUGGCAGAUUUUUUCCAAGAAAAAUUUCCUUACACAAUUCAUAAUAACAGGC